rnacentral:misc_RNA from 1 species
GAAAUGCGAUACUUGGUGUGAAUUGCAGAAUCCCGUGAACCAUCGAAUCUUUGAACGCACAUUGCGCCCGGCAGUAAUCUGCCGGGCAUGCCUGUCCGAGCGUCAUUUCUCCCCUCGAGCGCAGCUUUCCCCCCCGGGGGAGGGCCGCGCCCGGUGUUGGGGCGCUACGGAGGAGCCUCGCGCUCCCCCGUAGGCCCCGAAAUGUAGUGGCGGUCCUGCCGCGGCGCCCCCUGCGUAGUAGUUUUACAACUCGCAUCGGGUCCCGGUGGAGGCCAGCCGUCAAACCCCCAACUUUAAUAGUUUGACCUCGGAUCAGGUAGGGUUACCCGCUGAACUUAA